AAACAAGCAAAGAUUGAAAGUAGUAGAGAAAUGUUCCAUCUUUAGAGAGCUAACGGUUGGUGAAAGUUAGUGAUGCGCAUUCUUGAACUCGUUCAUGAGCACAUAACCUGAACAAUCGAGUAAGGUUAUACGGAUUCCUCCGUUAUCAGGAUUAAGGUGAGAAUCUUAAAUAAGUGGGAUUGUGUGAUGCAAUCCAAGUAGAGUGGUACCGCGAGUAAUGUCUCGUCUCUAGU
rnacentral:ncRNA from 1 species